UUUUCAGAAACUGAGCCUUAUUGAUUACCUUCUGCUUUGUAACUUUCAUGCCAGUGACUUGUAGGUACCACGCUGUGAGCUGUGCUGUGUUCUCGGACUAGAAGCCUCAGAAAACAUAAUGUUGGGGAUAAAGGUCAAAGAGAUUCAGAAUCUUUCCAUGUGUGACUGCUUCACUCAGAUACAGUGCUCAAUAAGUGACUUGUUUGGUCUUUCUCUGGAGGUGGGAAUUCAUGAGCUAUUUUUCAAACAUUAAUUCUGUAGGGCUACAUGGUUUCCUGGUGGAAAUGGCUUG
rnacentral:lncRNA from 1 species